UUUAUGGAGAGUUUGAUCCUGGCUCAGGAUGAACGCUGGCGGCGUGCCUAAUACAUGCAAGUCGAGCGAACAGACGAGAAGCUUGCUUCUCUGAUGUUAGCGGCGGACGGGUGAGUAACACGUGGAUAACCUACCUAUAAGACUGGGAUAACUUCGGGAAACCGGAGCUAAUACCGGAUAAUAUUUUGAACCGCAUGGUUCAAAAGUGAAAGACGGUCUUGCUGUCACUUAUAGAUGGAUCCGCGCUGCAUUAGCUAGUUGG
rnacentral:rRNA from 1 species